UCCAAAGCUGGUGUUGCCUGCCUCAGC
rnacentral:piRNA from 1 species